UACGUAGGUGGCAAGCGUUGUCCGGAUUUACUGGGCGUAAAGGGCGCGUAGGCGGCCACCGCAAGUCGACUGUGAAAUCUCCGGGCUUAACCCGGAAAGGUCAGCCGAUACUGCGGGGCUAGAGUGCAGAAGGGGCAACUGGAAUUCUCGGUGUAGCGGUGAAAUGCGUAGAUAUCGAGAGGAACACCUGCGGCGAAGGCGGGUUGCUGGGCUGACACUGACGCUGAGGCGCGAAAGUGUGGGGAGCGAACAGG
rnacentral:rRNA from 1 species